AUGGUGGCUCCUGCUGUCAAAGACAAUGAGAAGCAGCCGUUCAGCAAGCUCAGUGCUGUGACCCCAGGCCUCGUGGGGCUGGACUAUGAUAUGACAGAGAUGUUCUGGACUCACACAGGGAAACUUGAACUAGGGAAUGAAGACAAUUUUAAACGCAACAACUCAGAGUCUCAGAUUCAUAUUCGGGGAAAACCCGGGCGGGUGAGUGCAGGGUCUGGAGGGAAACGGCCUCUGCGGGGAGGAGCGAGGGGCCCGCCCGGCGGGGGCGCAGGACCCGCGGAGCGGCGCUGGGAGGAAGGUCGGGCAGGUCUCAGCCUCUCCUCGCCCCCAGGCUCCCACUCCUUGAGGUAUUUCUACACCUCUGAGUCCCCGCCCGGCCGCGGGGAGCCCGGCAUCAUCUCAGUGGGCUACGUGGACGACACGCAGUUCCAGAGGUUCGACGGCGACGCUGCAAAUCUGAGAGGAGAGCCGCGGGCGCCGUGGGUGGAGCAGGAGGGUCCGGAGUAUUGGGACCUGCAGACACCGAGAGUCAAGGCCCAGGCACAGACUUUCCGAGUGAACCUGCGGACCCUGCGCGGCUACUACAACCAGAGCGAGGUCGACUCCCCAAAGACACAUGUGACCCACCACCCCAUCUCUGACCAUUAGGCCACGCUGAGGUGCUGGGCCCUGGGCUUCUACCUUGCGGAGAUCACACUGUCCUGGCAGUGGGAGGGGGAGGACCAAACUCAGGACACGGAGCUUGUGGAGACCAGGCCAGCAGGGGAUGGAACCUUCCAGAAGUGGGCAGCUGUGGUGGUGCCUUCCAGAGAGGAGCAGAGAUACACAUGCCAUGUGCAGCUUGAGGGGCUGCCGGAGCCCCUCACCCUGAGAUGGGACCCGUCUUCCCAGCUCACCAUCCCCAUCAUGGGCAUUGUUGCUGGCCUGGGUGUCCUAGGAGCUGUGGUCACUGGAGCUGUGGUCACUGCUGUGAUGUGUAGGAAAAAGAGUUCAGGUGAAGAAAGAGGGAGCUACUCUCAGGCUGCGUGCAGCGACAGUGCCCAGGGCUCUGAUGUGUCUCUCACAGCUUGUAAAGCCUGAGACAGCUGCCUUGUGUGGGACUGAGAUGCGAGAUUUCUUCACGCCUCCCCUGUGACUUCAAGAGCCUCUGGCAUCUCUUUCUGCAAAGGCAUCUGAAUGUGUCUGCGUCCCUGUUAGCAUAAUGUGAGGAGGUGGAGAGAUAGCCCACCCCGUGUCCACUGUGACCCCUGUCCCCACGCUGACCUGUGUUCCCUCCCCAGUCAUCUUUCCUGUUCCAGAGAAGUGGGGCUGGGUGUCUCCAUCUCUGUCUCAGCUUCAUGGUGCACUGAGCUGCAACUUCUUACUUCCCUACUGAAAAUAAGAAACUGAAUAUAAAUUUGUUUCUCAAAUAUUUGCCAUGAGAGGUUGAUGGGUUAAUUAAAUAAGUCAUUUCCUAAAAUUUGACAGAGGAAAUAAAGACCUGAGAACCUUCCAG